AAAAAAAAAAAAAAAAAAAACGAGCAGAUUGUUAAGAGGGACAAGACACGCGUGAAACGGGGAAAAUACGCGUGUCGGAAAACGUGUGCCGAAUCCUAGCGACAGCAGAACUCCCUCGCAAUGAAAUACCCCUUCUGUAUAAAGAGUAAGUAUAUAUAUAUAUACACACGUAUAAAUAAAUAAAUAAAUAAAUAAAUAAAUAUAUAUAUAUACACACACACACGCAUAUAUAUAUAUAUAUAUUUAGAAGCUCUAAAAGUCGAUGUAUAUAAGAGAGAAACAUAUGGCAGUGUGGAAAGGUUGUAGCUACAUUAUGUUAUCGAGACUUUUAUCGUCAAAAAAUCGUUUCGCGGGAAAAGAACUAUUGUAAAGGACAAUAGACCUGUCGUUAUAAUUUAUCAUUAAUAGGAUGAUUUUAUUAUUAUCGUUAUUAUAUUAUUCGUCGUCUUUAUUGUCAUUUAUUAUUAUUCUCUAUUAUUACGAUUAUUAUUAUUAUCAUUAACAUCGCUAUUAUUAAUGUUAUCAUUAGCAUUCUGUUGCCCGGAGGCUAAUCGCACAGAGCGAGAAUUUUGCGUUUUUCGUCGCCGCCGGGCAUCGGUCGCUCUUCUUUCCUCUCUCUUCUCUUUUGCUUCUCGCGUUAUUCCGUUUUUCGCACUUUCUCGUUUCUCUUCCUCGUCUUAUUUUCGUCGUUCUCCCGUGCUCUCUGAUCCUUGCCUGCUCGUCUUCGACGGUGCCCCGUUGCUUCCGAUCGUUCCUCGCAACGGACGCCUCCGUUCGAAUCGAAAAACUCGCCCAGUUCGCAGUCGUCCUUAAUUCGAACGAUCAAAGUUCGAAGCGGAUCUGACGCGCGUCCCGUCGAACCGAUAUCUUUUUUCACUGCGGGCUCAGUCACGCGCAAAUCGGUAUUCUCGCUGUACGAUCGGCCAAGAAACUCGUUUAUCGGCGUUACGAAGUUGCUGCGACGAAAACGUUUCGCGUCGUUUUCAUACGGUUCGACGGGUCUCGGCGUCGCGGUCGCCAGCUCGUUGCGUUUUAAGGUUAGAACGUCGUUGUCGCGAUACGUGGAAGAAAAUAGACGUACGUCCGAUGACAUCCGGCUUUAGCAAACCGUUUGGAAAAUUCGCCAGAGUAUUUACAAAACGUAAUCGCCGUCUGUUCGAUCCUCGCUUCUCAUUUUCGCUCGAUCGUAGAUACGUCUCUCUCUCUCUCUCUCUCUCUCUCUUUCUCUCGCUUUCCCAGUUUUCGCCGAGCAUCGAAAGUAAGCUGCGUAUCUUUUCGCCGGCUUGUUCGAACGUUCUCGUCGUCGUGACGCGUUCGUUACGAUCGAACGCUCGAUAAAAUUUCUUAUACGUUCAAUUUUCUCGCCGCGUAAUUGACGGACGCACCUACAUCUGCGAAUGCGCGUGUAAAAGGACAAAAUAUAACGGCAGGUCGAACGACCAGCGUAACAACGUAGGAUUUGUGCGAGGAAUGUCUAACUUGUCGCGAUCAAGGGUCGGACCACCCUCUCGAUAUUUCCCAACGCCUCGAAUUCGUCCGGUGGACAACCGGUGCGUCCUCGUUCCACCUUGUUUCCCGAUCUACCCUUCGAAUCAACGUUUCUACUAAUACCGGAACAUCGACCAACGACGUUUAAAAAAAUCAUAAAGCUGACCGUUAAACCGUUAAACCUACCACCGGUACCUAUUACGAAUCGUUCAACGGAUCCGACUACGAACAACCUGGAAUAGGUAACGCGCUCGUUCCGACGACUCUAUUUAGGGGCGGGGUGGGUUUGGAAAGCAAAGUGGCCGGCGUAUGUAUAGGAGACAGAUCCAAAUCGUGGCGAUGAUCACGGCGCGAGCUGCUCGUUAGAAGGCGUUUAACGUUUGGGACGCGGCUAGUUUCCCUGAUCCGUCGUCCCGUUUCCGCUAAUGAUACGUUCGUACAGGCGGGCGAAUCUUUCGGGCUCGUUAAGACGUUGCUUUUUCUCCUGGCGGCGGUUUCUCUCACGAAAAUCGUCGAUCGGAGCGAGAGAGAGAGAGAGAGAGAGAGAGAGAGGGAGAGAAAGGAAGAGAGAGAGAGAGAGAGAGAGAGAGAGAGAGAGAGAAAGGAAGAAGACUGUCUCGAGCCGGGAGUCGUUUCUUCGAUUUCUCCGCGCGAUUAAUACGACUUCAUUAGGCGACAAUUCACGGAGUCGACGUUUCGUGUCGGGAUUACUCGCGUUAUCGGUGACACGGUUUCUGUGAUUAUUUGCUCAACUGGCUCGAGUGUCGGCGCUUUAUCCGAGUCCGGCCUCGGCUAUCAUCGCGAGGCCGCGAUUUCGAUACGAAGCGGCGCGACGCGAGGACGAACGGAAGCGAAAGAAAACGCACCCCGACCAACGAUUUCGCGUCGAAAAGUCGAGCGAAAUCGUUCGUACGGCUGUUUUGUUAAUUAUCGUCUGUAUAGCGGCGCGUAUCCUUUCGCGCUCGAUCGCGUUUGCUUCUUGUUGUUCGAUCGUUCGUUUCACCGAAGGCAGGAAAGGACAGAGAUCACGGAUCGUUGUGUCGUACGGACACCGUGUCCAAACGUACGCGAUUUUAUUGGUGCAACGAAUCGGCGUUGUUUUCCGGCUCGACACGCCGCGCUACGAGAAACUGCGACAGGAUACGCGAGGCGUUGCGUUCAAUUGCCGUUUUGUAAAUAGAGAGAAACGAUGUGUGCGAAGAAACGAUAGAACAAAGUGUCUUGCUAACACGAUGCUAAAGGGAAACGGACGGAAUCGAAGAGCGCGACAUGCGACGAACAUUGUUCGGAGAAAAUCGCAGACUAACCCGCGUCUCGACGCGUUUCAAUCGUCAGCCAUCGGAAGAAUUCCGAAUUUCGCGAUUGUCGCUCGUUAGCGUGAUCGAGCUCUUCGAUCUCCGGCUGGUUUUCAGCGACAUGCGUGAAAUUUUAUGCCAAGGACAAGAUGCGCGCGUGAAAAGUGCGAGAGAGAGAGAGAGAGAGUGCGUGAAAGAGAGCGUGCGUGUGUGCGUGCGCGCGCGGAUGUGUGUCUGCAGGAGAGAAAGAGAACGAGUGGCAGAAGUACGAGAGAAGAGGAAGGAAAGGUAGAGAGGCCGAUGACGAAAAGCAUGUAAAGAUCGUAGGCAAAUCACGCGUAAUACGCAUAGGACGAAUCGAAUCGAAACGAAACGUAAAAACGAUCACGAAUGCGCGCAAAACUGUAAACAAAUCCUCCUUCUCCCUGUAUAUUAUUAUAAUUAAACAUUAAUUAUUAUUAACGUAAAAUAAAGAUCUGGCGAAUGGUGGUGAGACGUUUUGUUAGAAUGGCAGAAACUAAAUUACUACUGAAUUUUAAUUAAUAAACAACAUGAAAGUAAUACAACAACGUACUUCACGUCUUAUGCUUCUUUUGUCAAGAAUCAUUUUACCCGAAGAGAGCGAACGACCCACGAUGAGCGUCUAUUCGAUGGGCGAUCGGUGAUCGAAUAAUCGGUAAAGAUCAUCCGUUGGUUACUCGAUGGUUCGCAAAGUCGCACGACUCGCGUGUUACAACGUGGACGAAUCGAUCGGAAACUUUCGAAAAAAGUAGCUGGCUGAUUUCGAAGCGCGACUAAGCGCCUCGCGAGCAUCCUUCUCGUAACGAUUAUUAGCCGGGAUAAUGAAACGAGCACGCGUAACCGUUAAUCACGCCGAUAGGUGAAGCGACAAGCGGAUAAUUAAUAUCCAGAGAAAGAAAAAAAAAAGAAGGAAGAAAAGAACGUUCGAUCGACGCGGAAUGAACAGCGAAACGGCGAUUCUAUUCGAUCGACGAUUUCGUUUCUUCCAUUGACGUAACACGCCGACGAAGAAACACGCGAAGAAAUUGAUUAUCAGCGUGCGAUCGCUCGGUUCUCGUUCGUCGUUUCCCAAAGUAUCCUCUCGUACGACGAUUCUUCGACGCGCGUGUCGACGAUCGUCGAUGUUUCCACGUUGAUCGUUUUUUCUUUUUUCUUUUGCCCCAAGAAGCAACGUCUCUCGUUCGUAGGCGAAAAUACUCGGCUGUAGAUCGAUUCGUUGCGACGACUGCGUCGUUUCUUUCUGUCGAGUAUCGCGCGUCGGAUUAGAUUCCACUUUCUAUAUCGGCGAAAUUUUGAUUGCCGCGCGACGAAACGAGAUUGCACGAUUGCACGCACGGCUCGUCCCUAACGACGGAGCAGUUAGCGCGUUUUCCAAUCGCGUAGUCAUGAUUCCAAUCGGCCGCGAAAUAAUUGGAGGUAGAUUCUGGCUGGUCCAAUUUUUGCUCGCGGAAGCGAGACGCUCGAUUGGAAUCGGCGGUGAAUUCGUGGAAAGACGAGGCAGCUCGCUGCGUUGCGCAACGUCUUUUGGCAAAGCAAACGUGACGCUAGAUUCACGUCGAUCAACUACGAUACUUUGUACAGCUGGGAUUUCAGGAUACGUUGGAAAUUUCGUGGAACGCAAGAGGCCGUCGAUAAGAAAAGAUACGGUCGAGUGAAACGCAAAGAGGCGACACGUCGUACACUGGUUUAGGGAAACGCGCGUGACUCGCAGCGUUGUUGACGCGAGCGUUCCGAUCGUCCUGAUUCGGAAGCCGAUCAAGCGUCUCGUAAAUCUCCGUGCAGUUAUCGUUUCGCAGUUGGUCGAAUCCGUUCGAUUUCGCGUUUCGCAACCGAGCGACGGAGUUUCCUCUUUAUUCGCGAGUUUAUUCCGCGUGUCGUGGAAUAAAUCUCGCGCCGUGUCCGGGAGGUGUUGCUGAAAGGUGUCGCGUUACGAUCUUCCAGCUACUUGAGCGGCGUUCGCGCGGUCGGACGGUAAUAUUAAUAAUCGGACGGACGAUCGUCGAUAGCCCCGACAAGUAGUAAUCCAGCGUUCUCGCGUAGACAAACCAGUCGGUCGUUCGGCAGAUUUACCGACACUCUCUGCUCGAGAGCUAUAAUGAUCCUCCGUACGGUUCGGAGCGAACGCGCGCGCGAGCUAGAAACGACCGAUCGAUCUCGGGCGAAACCGAUAGUUGAUACGAGCGACGAGUCACGAGCGACGGGCAACAGGUUCGCUCGGAAAUCCGCGGACGAAGACGCGCGAGGCGGUUCGAUGGGAAAGAGAAAAGAGGUUGGACAACGAGAGUCGGAUUGGACGUUCCGUCGGACACGCGCUUCCGGUUCCUGCGCGAAAGACGAGGCGAGACGUUCGGCUCGUGCUGCUUCGGAGCGUAUCCACGCGAGUCCGAUUAUUACGUGGAAGCGCGAAUUGCCUUUAAUUAUGCAUGGCAAGGAGCGUACGAUUAACCGGCGAGAUACCGCGCAGGGGUGAUUAUUCCUUUCCUCGGGUGAGGAAUUCUUUGUUCGGUUCGUGUUUCGAGGGAAAUCGACGAGCCAGCCUGGAACGGACAACCGUUAAAUCAAUUUUAAGAACAGGUUUCGAUCCGGCGAGCGCGCUUCUCUAUCGAUUCUAGGAUCUCUCGAGACGCUGUGGCGCAAAACGAGGCGACAGAAUUUUUGCGCCGCCGAGUGACAUAACCAACAGAGUCGACCAACCGGUCGCUCGUUGCCGUCGUCGUCGUCGUCGAGGAUCUCUGAAUUCGUCCUCCUGACGAGAUCGCGGCGCGAUUAGUCGGUCUUUCUUCGACCCGCGAAUCCAUCGGCUUGCGUAAUAUCCGUGUGCGUCGGACGGUGAACAGGGAAGGAGAAAAAGGGAUGGGAACGUGCGCGGGAGUGGAAAAGGCGCGAAACCAGGUGUCGAGUAGGAAAUCGUCGUCGGAUGGUUUCACCUCGUCGGUGCGUGACACGCGCGAAUAAUGAGUGCCACUUCGAAAGGGGGUGAAACCAUCGGCGUCGGCGAGGUGGGAGCGACCGAUUCGCAACGACACGGUACGGACACGGUGAGUCGCGGUGCGGCGUGGCACGUCGGAGGGGAACGGAGAGAGGGGCGAUGGAGGCAGAAAGACGAUAAACAGAGCCGAAGAAGGGACGGGAAGAGAUCGCGAUGAACGAGGAGAGAGAGAGAGAGAGAGAGAAAAAAAGCAGCUGGAAGGGAAAUAGAAAGCAAGGCGGAGGACGGUGAUGGAAGAGCAACGCGACUUCGGGAGGCGGAAAGUGUGGCGUACUGAAACCAGAAUGGAAGAUGGGAGCUGGGAGCGGGAAAGAAGAAAGACUGGAAAGAGCGAGAGCGAGACGAGGGCAGGGAAAUUGAAGAGUGGCGGAGUGAAGCGCAGGCGCCGGCUUCUACCCCCUUCGAAGCGACAAGACAUGCGCUCUCGGAAGCAUUCUUGUUUCCUCCUCGUUCCUCCUUCGGUCGGCUCGUCGACGGCUCGCAACCCUUCGCUCGCCACGGUCGUGUUUCGUUCACACCUACCGAAAUUAUCGUUAUAGGCGUACAGUGACGUCUGCGUAUAACACCGCAGAUUCGCGGUUACCGUUCGUCCCCCAACGAUCUUCGUUAGAAGGCGUUACGUCGAUACGUCGGAAAUAUCGUCUCGCGAAUUGCGUAUUCGAUCGGGACUGGCGUUAGACCAGUUGAAUCGUCGUCACCGCACGAUACAGCUUUCCGAUCCGCGUUCGAACAGCUUCAGCGUCCUUCCUGACAGGUUUUUUCGCCCGGAUGACUUACGGCGCCAGACCAAUCGGCCGGUUGACAUUCCACGACUCGCGCGCAUUGGCAAAGCGUGCACGGCGUUGCGUCGGUUUAAACAGUCGGUCGAGAUAAAAGUAUAGAGAGGCAACCUGGUAGCCUUUCGAGGCGUGCUGCGCGUAACGCGCGACCUUAACCGGAACACCGUAAUUACAGAAACACCUUUCACGAGGUCCUCGAAUCUUUCUCGUCUCUGGUCGGGCGUCGUCGGUGCAGCGGUCGCUGCAUUCGUUGGUUCGCGACGACGGUGGCGGAAAACAGCCAGCCAUCCGUCCGUCCCGCGUCUAGUUUCUAACGUAUCCACGAAACUGGAAGCGCGUUUAAUUUACGACGCGUCGCCGCGUAAUCAGCGAGUAGCUCUCUGGGAUCUCGAGAGUUUCCGCGAGCGCAACGCUCGGCUCGUUGACAUUCCACGAACGCAUUAGCGAGGCGUGAACAGAUCGUGACAGCGGCGCAUUGAUUUAAUAGCCGAUGCCCACACUAGGAACGUACGGCGGUCGUCGUUGUUGGCCGUCGAUGCGCCUUCGGUGGCGACGCGGUCGCCGUUGGUCGUCGUUGGUCGUGGUCGGCCGGCGGAGCCGCGUACCGAUCGUCGCGAUCGGUGUCGCCGAUUCUGCCGUUUCUGUUCUGUCGUUCACGAACGGACGUAGGUAUACGUACUUACGUCCAUCCGUGGUCGAACGUGCACGGCCGAGAAGGGAACGACGACGUCGACGACACGCGGCACUCGCGGCACGCGUGUGCGGAGGAAACAAUUGAACCUCGUCGUCCUUCUCUCUCUUUCUCGCGCGCUGUUGGCCGUGCUAGUUCGCGUCGCCUCUUCCUUUCCGUCUCUCUUUCUCUUUCUCCGCUCGUACCCGCGGCUCGUCUCUUCCUCUCCGGCCUGGCAGCGAAGCUUAAUAAGCACAGCUACCUACAUUCCAUUUCCGGUGCGCUGACGUCACUUGACAAUCCGGCUACGGACAGCUCGUCGAGCCACGUACGAGCCUCGUCCAUCCUUUAGGUAUACCCACACCUCUCGCGACCGACGUUUCACCGGCUACGAUUUCCUCUCGUGGCCUCCGAUCGACGCCCAACGCGUUUCAUUCCUCUCCGUCUCUUUUCCCCUCCUCGAUCCUCCGUCCUCCUCGUCCAGCGAGGACGCGACGCGACUCGACUCGACUCGUCGUCGGUUCGAUCGCGUCUCGCGCCUUUUUCGCGACCCGUUUCGGAUCCGCUUGGACCUCGCGUUCCGAUUUUGUACGCUAACAUGGAUUUCCCGUGGUUCCCGCGUCGAUCUCCACCAUCCGACAGUCGCCACGACCGGGUUUCGACACGCGGGCACAGCCUCUCGUUUCGCCUCUCCGGCUUUCCGACAGUUUUUCUCACGACGCGUGUCACGAUAUUGCGUAGUGGCUAGAACAGCAGGGACGGAGGGAAAGAGAGAAAGAGAGAGGCGGAGAAGCGAUCGCGCGUCGAAGCAAAGCAAGCAGGUAGGCCUUGAACAACUCCGGACCCACGCGCAUAGCUCGCUAGGAGUGUUGGCUCGUAUAUAGAGGCAUUCUCGGUUGGCGCUGCCGGGCAAAAGACAGAUAAAUAACUCAGUUUCCUGCCUCGUGGAUCGUCGUCGAUCGUCGAUCGUCCCGUGGAUCCCUCCUGUGGACCGAGUAUCAUCGCGGUCGUCCUCCGGGAUUCGAUUUUCGACGGUCCUCGCGGCACUUGGAACGUGCGGAACGAGCGGUCCGCCGAUUGCCCGCGAUCCAGACCCUCGGACCGCCCUCAUUCUCUUCGGAUUCGAGCUUACAGAUUUGUCUCGUAGCGUGCUGCUGCAAGCGAUCGUUCCAGAGUCCUGUCGCAGCCAGGCGCAUCGUGUCAGUGUGGAAAUGCAUAAUUAUAUAGAAUUACGGUAUAAGUUGUGUUAAAUCAAUGUUAAUCGCUGUAGCGAAGUGGGGUAUUACAAUAAAUACAUUAUUUUAUGUAAAA